AUUGAACGCUGGCGGCAGGCCUAACACAUGCAAGUCGAACGAGUGGCGGACGGGUGAGAAUUGUCUGGGAAACUGCCCGAUGUAGGGGGAUAACUACUGGAAACGGUAGCUAAUACCGCAUACCAUCGGAUGUGCCCAGAUGGGGUUGGCUAGUAGGUGAGGGAACGGCUCACCUAGGCGACGAUCCCUAGCUGGUCUGUGAGGAUGACCAGCCACACUGGAACUGAGACACGGUCCAGACGCCUACGGGAGGCAGCAGUGGGGAAUAGUGCACAAUGGGCGAAAGCCUGAUGCAGCCAUGCCGAGUGUAUGAAGAAGGCCUUCGGGUUGUAAAGUACUUUCAGCGGGGAGGCGUUACCCGCAGAAGAAGCACCGGCUAACUCCGUGCCAGCAGCCGCGGUAAUAC
rnacentral:rRNA from 1 species